rnacentral:tRNA from 1 species
GCCGUGGUAGCUCAGUGGUAGAGCACCGAACGUGUUAUUCGAAGGUCGCAGGUUCGGUUCCUGUCCACGGCA